CCUACGGGAGGCAGCAGUGGGGAAUAUUUGGCAAUGGGCGCAAGCCUGACCCAGCAACGCCGCGUGAAGGAAGAAGGCUUUCGGGUUGUAAACUUCUUUUGUCAGGGACGAAGCAAGUGACGGUACCUGACUAAUAAGCCACGGCUAACUACGUGCCAGCAGCCGCGGUAAUACGUAGGUGGCAAACGUUAUCCGGAUUUACGGGGUGUAAAGGGCGUGUGGGCGGGAAUGCAAGUCAGAUGGGAAAACCACGGGCUCAACCUGUAGCCUGUAGUUGAAACUGUAGUUCUUGAGUACUGGAGAGGCAGACGGAAUUCCUAGUGUAGCGGUGAAAUGCGUAGAUAUUAGGAGGAACACCAGUGGCGAAGGCGGUCUGCUGGACAGGAACUGACGCUGAGGCGCGAAAGCGUGGGGAGCAAACAGGAUUAGAUACCCGAGUAGUC
rnacentral:rRNA from 1 species